rnacentral:misc_RNA from 1 species
GAAAUGCGAUAAGUAGUGUGAAUUGCAGAUGUAACGUGAAUCAUCGAAUCUUUGAACGCAAAUUGCACUCCCUGGUAUUCCGGGGGGCAUGCCUGUCCGAGCGUCAUUGCGAACCCCUCAAGCACGGCUUGUGUGAUGGGCCUCUCACGUCUGGGUUUAUCCAGACGGGUCCGAAAAGCAGUGGCGGCGACGCGGUUAUCCGAUCAGCCAGAGCGUAUGGGGACUUUCCGUCACACGCCCGCGGCGCGGACCGACGUCUGCCAAUCGAUUUUUAUCAAAAUUUUUUCUCGGUUGACCUCGGAUCAGGUAGGGAUACCCGCUGAACUUAAGC